GUACUAACACAUUACCAACCACUCUUGAGUCUUUUGUGCCUUAUGAUCUGUGACGCAUCCCUCACGCUAUCUCCAUAAGUUACAAGUCGAGACACAGGUCUGCUUACGACAGUAAGAACCGUGACUGCCACCAAGGCAGCGUCAACGCUUUGUUAAGACACCGGAGUCGGUCUGAUUAAACCGUCGUUACCGCCGGCCGCCAGCAGGGGGCAAGCUGCCCCCGCUGCGGUGUUUGUGAGAAGCAGCAGCAGCCGACAUUGUCCAU